ACCCAACACAAAAUUUAUAAUGUUCAAAAACUCCUAAAUUAGAAAACAACUAGCAAGGCCCAAGUAGAAAGCCCAAAUAAAAAAAAAAGGAAAAAAAAAUCUGAUCUCCUAGGCCGUAUCCUCAAACCCCCUCCCUCUCCUCCUCCUCCUCCGUCGUCGCAACAGAUAAGCUAGGGUUCCGGCGGCCGGAGUUCGGCCGCGAGGAUCUGGCGGGGACCAUCGCCAGAGGAGUAAGCGCCAAACGUCGAGGCGACGGCGGUGGUGGGGAAGCAGGAGUCCGGCGACCUGGUUGUGCUCGCGUCGGCGUCGAAGGCGUGGAAGGGGUAGAUUUAGAAGAAGGGGAGGUGUUGUCCGUUCGGUGUCUGUUGACGUGUCCGAACUGACCAAAUUGGCAGUCGCGGGGCGUGACAGUUACGCAGCACAAGAAAUAAAAGGAAUCGUACAAUGCUAAUGGCGACUCACACUGUAGGAACAAAGAGUUUUGCUCAUGUUGCAGAGGAAAUGCUGUGUUAGAAGCUUGGAAGCUGCAGCAGGGAAGGGUUGGAGAGACCAAUUUGAAGGUGUCCUUGCAGUCUCACUUCAGUAAAUAACUGAGUGGUAUUCUAGUAAACUGAAGUGAGAGAGGUAUUGGCAGCUACUUAAACAAGUUUCAAGAUGGUUGUGCAAUCCGAACUCAAGGGGGGAAGUUAGAACUAAACCUGGAAAAGCAGCUGGGAUAACUACAUUGAGCUGCGGAUAGGAGCAGUUAUAGGCUGUUUUGGGGUGCUUACAUCCAAGGGAAGGAGAGGUUCAGCUCUGAUCUGAACCCAGCAGAUUUGCAAAGGAUUAUUAGAUUGUCCUCGGCUAAUAUUUUGAAGCUUUCGGAAGUUAAAUUGAGUACACUAACCUGGACCAAAACAGGGAUUCAACUAUAGCAUAAUACUAGGUUUGGUAAUCACUUGGAGUUGAUUAUUGAGACCCAGUGGAGCUGAAUUGGGUGAUCUUAAGCAGCCCCAUCUUGAAGUGGAGCAGAGGUUUAGUUUAAACUAAACCUAGCUAGGGGAGUUGGAGGCCUCAGAUUUCCUGCAAGAGAGUGUGUUUGUCAGGAACCAUCGAUUAGUAGAGCCUUCCACCGCGGGAAAGGCUAGGGUUCCUGGCGAGGGGUCAACGGCUAGCUAGAGCUUUUUCGAUGAUAAAUAGAUGAACCUCUACCAGUUUAUUGUGAUGUAGUUCAGUGUGGUAUACGGAGAGUAUGUAGAAUGUAUUUGGUUUACUUUACAUUGUGAUAAAAUUCUGGGUUGUAUAAGUUUUAAACUUUUAGUUGUGCUCUGAUUACUUAGUUAAGUUAUGAUCUUGUUGCUAGAUUGUUCAUUCUCUUUGUAGA